rnacentral:rRNA from 1 species
UUGGAGGGCAAGUCUGGUGCCAGCAGCCGCGGUAAUUCCAGCUCCAAUAGCGUAUAUUAAAGUUGUUGCAGUUAAAAAGCUCGUAGUUGAAUUUCGGGAUUAAUUUGCUGGUCGUGCCUUCGGUACGCACUGGUAUUAUUGGUUUCUCCUUUCUGAUGAAUCGCGAUGUCAUUAAUUUGGUGUCGUGGGGAAUCAGGACCGUUACUUUGAAAAAAUUAGAGUGUUUAAAGCAGGCUCACGCUUGAAUACAUUAGCAUGGAAUAAUGAAAUAGGACGUUUGAUUCUAUUUUGUUGGUUUCUAGGAUCGACGUAAUGAUUAAUAGGGAUAGUUGGGGGCAUUAGUAUUCAAUUGUCAGAGGUGAAAUUCUUGGAUUUAUUGAAGACUAACUACUGCGAAAGCAUUUGCCAAGGAUGUUUUCAUUAAUCAAGAACGAAAGUUAGGGGAUCGAAGACGAUCAGAUACCGUCGUAGUCUUAACCAUAAACUAUGCCGACUAGGGAUCGGAUGAUGUAAUUUUUUAAUGACUCAUUCGGCGCC